rnacentral:rRNA from 1 species
GAUGAACGCUGGCGGCGUGCCUAAUACAUGCAAGUCGAGCGAACGGACGAGAAGCUUGCUUUUCUGAUGUUAGCGGCGGACGGGUGAGUAACACGUGGAUAACCUACCUCUAAGACUGGGAUAACUUCGGGAAACCGGAGCUGAUACCGGCUAAUAUUUUGAACCGCAUGGUUCAAAAGUGAAUGACGGUCUUGCUGUCACUUAUAGAUGGAUCCGCGCUGCAUUAGCUAGUUGGUAAGGUAACGGCUUACCAAGGCAACGAUGCAUAGCCGACCUGAGAGGGUGAUCGGCCACACUGGAACUGAGACACGGUCCAGACUCCUACGGGAGGCAGCAGUAGGGAAUCUUCCGCAAUGGGCGAAAGCCUGACGGAGCAACGCCGCGUGAGUGAUGAAGGUCUUCGGAUCGUAAAACUCUGUUAUUAGGGAAGAACAUAUGUAUAAGUAACUGUGCACAUCUUGACGGUACCUAAUCAGAAAGCCACGGCUAACUACGUG